GGGCGGUUGGUGUAGUGGUAACAUAUCUGCCUUCCAUUAGCAGGUGCCAGGGGUUCAAUUCCCCUACCGCUCA
rnacentral:tRNA from 1 species